UACAGAGGGUGCAAGCGUUGUUCGGAAUUAUUGGGCGUAAAGCGCGUGUAGGCGGCCUUGCAAGUCGGGUGUGAAAGCCCUCAGCUCAACUGAGGAAGUGCGCCCGAAACUGCAGAGCUUGAGUACCGGAGAGGAUGGUGGAAUUCCCCAAGUAGAGGUGAAAUUCGUAGAUAUGGGGAGGAACACCGGUGGCGAAGGCGACCAUCUGGACGGAUACUGACGCUGAGACGCGAAAGCGUGGGUAGCAAACAGG
rnacentral:rRNA from 1 species